rnacentral:lncRNA from 1 species
CUGAUCUACCCAACAUCACACAACCAAACUUCAUCAAGAUGCGUCAUACUCCUAAAUUUCAUCUACCGCCAUAACAUUCUGAUGGAGCUGUUUGAGUUACAAGGGAGGAUGGAGGAAUCAUCUGUCGCGUCAUCACUAAGGGACUGGGAUACGCCGAGCCUAAUGAAGGAGCUGCCGUAAAAGGUGGGCUAAAGGAGUUGGUGGAGGCAGAGCUGCAAGCCAGGGAUGAGAAAGGCCGUUAUUCAACGUUUUUUUUGUGAGACUAUUAUAGACAUAGACAAAGCUCAAAAGAGAGGAAAGUAUCUGUAUCAGAGGAGGCUAUGUGUUGGCAUGUCCCCCAUCUAGUCCUGUAUAGCUGACACUAAAUGGUCCUAAAGGCCCCAUUUACAUUUGACAUUUUAGUCAUUUAGCAGACACUCUUAUCCAGAGCGACUUACAGUUAGUGCUAUCAUCUUAAGAUAGCUAGGUGGGACAACCACAUCUCACAGCCCUGGGGGACACCAGUAGUGAGAGUCCGUGGUGCAGACACAAAUCCUCUCAACGUCAUCUGGUAGGAGCGGCCUGCCAGGUAGGAUGCAAACCAAGAGUCUGCAGAGCCUGAGAUACCCAUCCCUGAAAGGGUGGAGAGGAGGAUUUGAUGGUUCACGGAGUCGAAGGCAGCGGAUAGAUCUAGGAGGAUGAGAACAGAGAAGAGUCAGCUUUGGCAGUGCGGAAAGCCUCCGUAACAGAGAAGAACAGUCUCGAUUGAGUGACCCGUCGUGAAGCCUGACUGGCUAGAGUCAAGACGAUUGUUCUGAGAGAGAUAACGAGAAAGUUGAUCAGAGACAGCACGCUCAAGUGUUUUGGAAAGAUAAAAAAGAAAGGAUACAGGUCUAUAGUUUUUGACGUCAGAUGUUGUUUGGAUGUCAGAUGUUGGUCGAGUGUUGGUUUCUUGAGGAGGGGAGCAACUCGGGCCAUUUUGAAGUCAGAGGGGACACAGCCAGUGGUCAGGGAUGAGUUGAUGAGGGAAGUGAGGGAAGUGAGGAGUGGGAGAAGGCCUCCAGAGAUGGUCUGGAGGAGGGGAUGGGGUCAAGCAGGCAGAUUGUCAGGCGGCCAGACCUCACUAGUCGCAGGAUGUCAUCUGGAGAGAGUGGGGAGAAAGAGGUCAAGGCAUAGGGUACUUCUAUGUGAGUGAGACCAGUGGACUCAAUAGGCUGAGUGAAUGAGUAGCGGAUGUCGUCAAGCUUUUUUCAAAGUGGACC